rnacentral:piRNA from 1 species
GAACAUGGUUUGACCACACAAUGGAA